rnacentral:rRNA from 1 species
GAUGAACGCUGGCGGCGUGCCUAAUACAUGCAAGUCGAGCGAACGGACGAGAAGCUUGCUUCUCUGAUGUUAGCGGCGGACGGGUGAGUAACACGUGGAUAACCUACCUAUAAGACUGGGAUAACUUCGGGAAACCGGAGCUAAUACCGGAUAAUAUUUUGAGCCGCAUGGUUCAAAAGUGAAAGACGGUCUUGCUGUCACUUAUAGAUGGAUCCGCGCUGCAUUAGCUAGUUGGUAAGGUAACGGCUUACCAAGGCAACGAUGCAUAGCCGACCUGAGAGGGUGAUCGGCCACACUGGAGCUGAGACACGGUCCAGACUCCUACGGGAGGCAGCAGUAGGGAAUCUUCCGCAAUGGGCGAAAGCCUGACGGAGCAACGCCGCGUGAGUGAUGAAGGUCUUCGGAUCGUAAAACUCUGUUAUUAGGGAAGAACAUAUGUGUAAGUAACUGUGCACAUCUUGACGGUACCUAAUCAGAAAGCCACGGCUAACUACGUG